CGCCUGUUUAUCAAAAACAUCGUUUACUUAACUCUAGUAGAUAGAAUCUGCCCGCUGUUAUUUAUAAAAGGCCGCGGUAUCGCUGACCGUGCUAAGGUAGCAUAAUCACUCGCCUCUUAAUAGAAGGCUCGUAUAAAUGAUCUGACGGAAGGUAAACUGUCUCAGCUAUGUAAUAGAAUCUGACAUAAGGGUAAAAAGGCCCUUUCCCCCAAGGGGACGAUCAGACCCUAAAAACUUUAUCUACCUUUGCUCUUCCCCCUUUACCUUAAAAGAGUAGAAAUAGAUUUUGCUGGGGCGGCAUUUUUUAAUACAAAAACAAUCUUUCUUAAAACACCUUGUGUGACACUUAUAACAUGCCUUUAAGACUAAAGACCAGUUACUUUAGGGAUAACAGCGCAACCCCUUCUAGAGCCCCUAUCGACAAGCAGGAAAGCGACCUCGAUGUUGAAUUGAGACUCCCUAYUGGGCAGCCCCAGUAAAGGACAGGACUGUUCGUCCUAAGAUCCUCACAUGAUCUGAGUUC
rnacentral:rRNA from 1 species